rnacentral:lncRNA from 1 species
CUGCUGAUCCUCCUGGUGGGCAAAACAGGCUGUGGGAAAAGCACCACAGGGAACAGCAUCCUUGGCCAGCCUGUGUUUGAGUGCAAGCUGGGGGCCCAGUCAGUAACCAGGACAUGCCAGGUGGAGACAGGAACAUGGAAUGGGAGGAAAGUCCUGGUGGUCGACACGCUCUCCAUCUUUGAGUCCAAGGUCCAGACUCAAGAGCUGUACAAGAACAUCGGGGACUGCUACCUGCUCUCUGCCCUCGGGCCCCAUGUGCUGCUUCUGGUGAUCCAGCUGGGCGUUUCACUGCUCAGGACACAGUGGCCAUCAGGAAGGUGAAGGAGGUUUUUGGGGCAGGGUCAUGAGACAUGUGGUCAUCCUCUUCACCCACAAAGGGGACUUAGGGAGCCAGGCCCUGGAUGACUAUGUAGCAAACAUGGACAACCUCAGCCUGAAGGACCUGGUGCAGGAAUGUGAGAGAAGGUACUGUGCCUUCAACAACCGGGCUGCCGGGGAGGAGCAGAGGCAGCAGCAGGCAGAGCUCCUGGCUGCGAUCGAGAGGCUGGGGAGGGAGCGAGAGGGCUCCUUCUACAGCAAUAACCUCUUCCUGGAUGCCCAGCUGCUCCAGAGAGGCAGGGCUGGGGCCUGCCAAGAAGACUACAGGCAGUACCUGGCCAAGGUGGAA